rnacentral:snRNA from 1 species
ACUUGGGUCUUGCCAUCUGG